UACGGAGGGUGCGAACGUUAAUCGGAAUCACUGGGCGUAAAGCGCGCGUAGGCGGUUUGUUAAGUGGGAUGUGAAAUCCCCGGGCUUAACCUGGGAAUUGCAUUUCAAACUGGCCGACUAGAGUACGGUAGAGGGAGGUAGAAUUUCCUGUGUAGCGGUGAAAUGCGUAGAUAUAGGAAGGAAUACCGGUGGCGAAGGCGGCUGCCUGGUCCAAUAUUGACGCUGAGAAACGAAAGUGCGGGGAUCAAACAGG
rnacentral:rRNA from 1 species